rnacentral:rRNA from 1 species
GUAGGGUGCGAGCGUUAAUCGGAAUUACUGGGCGUAAAGCGUGCGCAGGCGGUUCGUUGUGUCGGUGGUGAAAUCCCCGGGCUUAACCUGGGAAUGGCCAUGGAAACUGGCGAACUGGAGUGUGGCAGAGGGGGGUGGAAUUCCGCGUGUAGCAGUGAAAUGCGUAGAGAUGCGGAGGAACACCGAUGGCGAAGGCAGCCCCCUGGGCUAGCACUGACGCUCAGGCACGAAAGCGUGGGGAGCAAACAGGAUUAGAUACCCUGGUAGUCCACGCCCUAAACCAUGUCAACUGGGUGUUCGGGAAGCGUUUUCUGAGUACCGUAGCUAACGCGUGAAGUUGACCGCCUGGGGAGUACGGCCGCAAGGUUA